GGGUUGAAGUCGGACUAUAGCUUCAUGCUGCCCAAGUCCUUGGACAGAGUUUGCAGCAUAUACUGCUACUAAGGGGAAUAUGGAGAGGUGUAAACAGAAACAUGGACAGCAAACAAGCAGACUAGAGGUAUGUCUGACCAAUUAUUGCCGGAGAAGAACCAGAGGAUCCACAACCAAUAAGUUGUAUUAUUGACUCUUUGGUGAGAGACCUACACACGCAGCAAAACCCAACCAGUGGAAUAAAACCCAGGAGACCUAUCCUAGCAAGAAUUUACUCUGACCAGUCUUUCUGAGGUGACUGUCAGCUGCAAGGGGUUGAAAGCAUCAUCAACGCAAGCUGAGGAUCAUUGUCAACCAAUGUUUUUCCUUAACACCUGUAUCCACUUUCAACAACCCGUCUGUUAAAACUUCUCUGAAGAAUGAAAAGGCUACCAGCAGCACUUGGCCUCAAGUAAAAAUAUUGGAGAUGCUUCUCUGGUCUGAGUAAUAAAAGGAAACUUCAUCAUGUCAUCUAUACCAGCCAAGCUGAUGGGCAAAACAAGUCCAAAGGGGGAACAGUCCACUCUGACAUUGACUCUGGCCAUGUUAUUUUUUCUGAUAAGCAAACAAAUGGGAAAACAAUCAAAUUCCUUAUUUGUUGCCUUGAUGAAAGUGCUGUUCAGACUUAUGAUAGAUUAUCUUGGUGGCAGUGCUGUCAGUUACUUUCUUAAGAUCUGAGGGAUUUAUUUUUCCUUCACAAGUUUAAUGACGCACAGCACCCACAUAGAUAGAGUCAUCAACAAAAGUACCAUUUUAUUAUUAAAAUAUAGAUGCAAAA